rnacentral:rRNA from 1 species
GACGAACGCUGGCGGCGUGCUUAACACAUGCAAGUCGAACGGACAGGCCCUGCUUUUGUGGGGUGCUCGUGUGGCGAACGGGUGUGUAACACGUGUGUAACCUGCCCUUGACUUUGGGAUAACUUCUGGAAAAUGGGGCUAAUACCGGAUAGAAGCUCCUGCUGCAUGUUGGGGGUUGGAAAGUUUCGGCUGUUUGGGAUGGUCUCGAGGCUUAUCAGCUUGUUGGUGGGGUAGUGGCUUACCAAGGCUUUGACGGGUAGCCGGCCUGAGAGGGUGACCGGCGACCUUGGGACUGCGAGAGGGCCCAGACGCCUACGGGAGGCAGCAGUGGGGAAUAUUACGGAAUGGGCGGAAGCCAGAUGCAGCAACGCCGCGUUCGUGAUGACGGCCUACGGGUUGUAAACCACUUUCGCCUGUGACGAAGCGGGAUUGACGGUAAUGGGUAAAGAAGCACCGGCUAACUACGUG